UUGUACUUUAACUAAUCCUUCCUCCUCCUCAGCUUCAAAACCGUCAUCAUCAGCUCCAUCUUCAUCAUGGUCACUGGCAUCCUCCUCCUCCUCCCCACAACUGCUGUCAGCCUCAACAUCUUCCCCAUCAUCUUCAUCAGCUCAUGGUGCUGCUGUGGUUGUCUGUGUGUCUUUGACUGCUGUUGCUCUGCUGUUGGGGAUCCUAGUCAUCAUUAUCUACACGUGCAGGAAGAAGAGGACAAGAGCGGCUGCUGCUGCUGUCCCUCUUAGCCAGAUAACUCCAGCUCCUUUUGCCACAGCAGAGGCUGAGGAUGAUUAUGAAAAUGAUCCUGCAGCACCAUCACAAAAUGAAGCCCCCACCAACACCCCGGCAUCUGAGUCCGUCUACCAGAGCCUGAACGCAGACACCCUCCAGCAGGAUUCAGUUUAUCAGUCCCUGAACCCCAACACAAACCAACAAGAUUGAGUUUAUCAAAGCCUCCAUCAACACAGGUCAGUUGAGUUACCAUCGUAAUGAAGAACAAGAAGAAGAGGAAACAGAUUAUGAUGAAGAGGAACAGGAAGAAGAUGAAGUGGAAAAAAGGAAAAGAAGGUGGAGGAGGAGAAGGAGGAAUAGUAACAAUUAAUGAAAUGAAGUAAAGAUGUUUGCUUUAAACUGCUGUAUGCUUUUUUUUUCUGUAAACAUUGCAAUC